rnacentral:rRNA from 1 species
GAUGAACGCUGGCGGCGUGCCUAAUACAUGCAAGUCGAGCGAACAGACGAGGAGCUUGCUCCUCUGACGUUAGCGGCGGACGGGUGAGUAACACGCGGAUAACCUACCUAUAAGACUGGGAUAACUUCGGGAAACCGGCGCUAAUACCGGAUAAUAUAUUGAACCGCAUGGUUCAAUAGUGAAUGACGGUUUUGCUGUCACUUAUAGAUGGAUCCGCGCCGCAUUAGCUAGUUGGUAAGGUAACGGCUUACCACGGCAACGAGGCGUAGCCGACCUGAGAGGGUGAUAGGCCACAUUGGAACUGAGACACGGUCCAGGCUCCUACGGGAGGCAGCAGUAGGGAAUCUUCCGCAAUGGGCGGAAGCCUGACGGAGCAACGCCGCGUGAGUGAUGAAGGUCUUCGGAUCGUAAAACUCUGUUAUGAGGGAAGAACAAAUGUGUAAGUAACUAUGCACGGCUUGACGGUACCUAAUCAGAAAGCCACGGCUAACUACGUG